AGAUGAAGAACGUAGCGAAAUGCGAUAAGUAAUGUGAAUUGCAGAAUUCAGUGAAUCAUCGAAUCUUUGAACGCACAUUGCGCCCGCCAGCACUCUGGCGGGCAUGCCUGUCCGAGCGUCAUUUACCACCCUCGGGCCCCCUUGGGGGCCCGGUGCUGGGGGCACGGCCCAGGCCGCCCCCGAAAUGCAGUGGCGACCCCGCCGCGUCCUCCCCUGCGCAGUAGCACUAUCUCGCACCGGAAGCGCGGAGGCGGUCACGCCUGGAAACGCCCCAACUCAACGCAGUUGACCUCGGAUCAGGUAGGAGUACCCGCUGAACUUAAGCAUAUCAAUAAGCGGAGGA
rnacentral:misc_RNA from 1 species